GUAGGGAAUCUUCGGCAAUGGACGAAAGUCUGACCGAGCAACGCCGCGUGAGUGAUGAAGGUUUUCGGAUCGUAAAGCUCUGUUGUUAGGGAAGAACAAGUACCGUUCGAAUAGGGCGGUACCUUGACGGUACCUAACCAGAAAGCCACGGCUAACUACGUGCCAGCAGCCGCGGUAAUACGUAGGUGGCAAGCGUUGUCCGGAAUUAUUGGGCGUAAAGCGCGCGCAGGCGGUCUCUUAAGUCUGAUGUGAAAGCCCACGGCUCAACCGUGGAGGGUCAUUGGAAACUGGGGGACUUGAGGACAGAAGAGGAGAGUGGAAUUCCACGUGUAGCGGUGAAAUGCGUAGAGAUGUGGAGGAACACCAGUGGCGAAGGCGGCUCUCUGGUCUGUAACUGACGCUGAGGCGCGAAAGCGUGGGGAGCAAACAGGAUUAGAUACCCCAGUAGUCC
rnacentral:rRNA from 1 species